UGAGCAGGGUUCACCCGCCGAAGAGCACACACGGGGUUGAAGAGAAAGUGAAAACGCAAGGCCUAUUCCAAGACUCCCAAUCUCAGCGACCAAGGAUUUUUUUGGAGUUGCAGUCAUCAGAGAUCCAAGUCUCCGUUUGAACAGAGGCUAGCUUUGAACUUGCGGUCCUCCUGCCUCAGCCUCCCAAGCCACUGGGAUUACAGGGGUGCGCCACCACACCAGGCCCUACAAGAAUCUUGGGAAGACAAUGGAUCAGCCUCAGGUCUGUUUCCAGAAACAAAUCCCUGGUGAAGAUGGGAAGAAGAUUCCAGAACAGUGUUGUGUCUGUGCGUACCGAUUCCAGUAAAAUGGAAAUGACCCCUCCCCAUCUUGCGUCUUCCUUCACCCUGCUCCACUUGGCAUCUGACUGGUGGGUUCUACGUCACCUGUCUGCAUGCUGGCAGCAGAGGAGGCUGGGUGUAGUUGGUUUUGUUUUGCAUAUUUGUUUCUAUGUUGGGGGAAAAUAUCAAAUUUGGAAAACGUAUCCUAAAGAUUCUGAGCUGUUUCAAAAGGUACAGACCUGCUUCAGUAGUGAGGGGAUUAAGAUUAGGGUCAGGUAUUAAGUGGGUCACCAAGAAGGAAAAUAGCCUGUUCAGGAGGGAAAUGGGAUUUCACUUUUGGGCCUGUUGAAUGUGCAGUGCCCGUGAUAUCCAGGAAGUAGCUGGAAAGAUCUUGUUUAAUCCUCCAGGCAAACUGCAAAAUUUAUGUUAUGGUCUACUUGCUCUAAUAUUGCACAAUAAGAAAGUGGGGAAACAGGGCAUGAAUCUAGGACAUUUGGGCUCUAAAAGCUGUUUUUUUCCUAUGUCACAAAUACCAUCUUCCAACUUUAUUGUCAUCCUUUCAAUUCUGCUCAUCUUUGGUUAAUCAUUAAUUCUUUUAACUCUAUUUGUACUCUAACAUCAUGGACAUCUCACUAUUUGUCUCCGUCAAACACCACGUCACCCUAACUUCCUGAAAGUCAUACCAAGGUCACAAGUUUGUGCUCCAUCAUUUCUGCUUAAUGAACUUUGGGCAUGUGUCCUGUGAGAAGAUAAGUUCUGAAUUGUGGCCUUCAAAACAAAAUUAGAGUAGAAAAUUCUUAUCUUGGCACUCCUUGUAUUAGUCACUGUUUCACUGCUGUAAUAAAACACUGGAGUCAGUCUACUUUGUAAAGAAAAGAGGUUUAUUUAGCUCAUUGUUUUGGAGGCUAGAAGCCCAAGCUUAGACAGCCCCACUGGUUUGGCCUCUAGUGAGGGCCUACUGGUAAAUGGCACCAUGGUGGGAACACAUGCAAGAGGGAGAGAUAACAUGGCCAGAUGGGAGGCCAGGAUUACGUGGAGACCAGACUUGUUUAUUUUACAAAACACUCUCAAGAGAACUAACUCAGGGGUUUUCACUAACUCAGGGGCCCUUCUGAGGGCUUGCCCCCAGUGACGGAAGGACUUCCCACUAGGUUCUUACCAUUAAUAUUUCCACAUGGCCUCUACACUCCAAACUAGGGCCAAACAUACCAAUGCAUGAACCUUGGGGGGCAAAUCAUAGCACUCCCCAAUUUCCUUGUUUUGUAUAUUUCUUCCCCUUAUCACGUCCUUAUUUCAUUACAAUCUCAAUACAUUCACUGGAUAGAAAAGUAGCUAGAUUCUUUCUUGCUAAAGGGUUAUAACUUUAAUGUAUUAGCCCUCUCAGGGGCUUUGCAUUUCCACAGAUGUUGAAACAUUUAAGAAUGCAAUUGGAAAAGUAGUUUGGGGGAUUUCUUUCCUUUUUUCUUUAUUUUUUUCAUUCACUGUUUAAAUCACCACCAAAAUUUUCUGUCUUCAGAGGGGUCGACCUGGCAGCCUCAUCCCUGCUUAAGAAAGAGUUUCUCAAAUUCCAUCAGGCUCGUCUGUAGAAAUGUCAUAUUGAUUCUACAGUUUAUAUUAAAAUGCCAAGAGUUUAUAAUUUAGCCAAAACAAUUUUGGAAAGGAAGAACAAAAUUGGAAGAUGUAUAGUGCCUGGAUUUCAAAACUUAUUAUAAAGCUACAGUAAUCAACACCGUGUGGUAUUGACAAAGGGUAGCCACAAUAUGAAUGGAAAAGUAGAAUCCAGAAAGAGAGCCACAUUGGGCUCCAGUUGGUAGAGUGCUUGCCUUGUGUGCACAAGGCCCUGGGUUCAAGUCCCAGCACCACAAAAAAAAAAAAAAAAAGAAAAAAGAAAGAAAGAAA